rnacentral:rRNA from 1 species
AACGAACGCUGGCGGCAUGCCUAACACAUGCAAGUCGAACGAUCCCUUCGGGGAUAGUGGCGCACGGGUGCGUAACGCGUGGGAACCUGCCCUUAGGUUCGGAAUAACUCAGAGAAAUUUGAGCUAAUACCGGAUAAUGUCUUCGGACCAAAGAUUUAUCGCCUUUGGAUGGGCCCGCGUUGGAUUAGCUAGUUGGUGGUGUAAAGGCCUACCAAGGCGACGAUCCAUAGCUGGUCUGAGAGGAUGAUCAGCGACACUGGGACUGAGACACGGCCCAGACUCCUACGGGAGGGAGCAGUGGGGAAUAUUGGACAAGGGGCGAAAGCCUGAUACAGCAAUGCCGCGGGAGUGAUGAAGGCCUUAGGGUUGUAAAGCUCUUUUACCCGGGAUGAUAAUGACAGUACCGGGAGAAUAAGCCCCGGCUAACUACGUG